AUUACAUGUGGACAGAUGGGUACAGAUGUGCACAUUUAUGGAAAGCAGCAGCAGUGUUUGUCACAAACUGUUGGAAAAAGAGAAAAACUGCUCUGUCAUUCUCCUCCCCGUCACCACGGCAACGCACCAUGGCAACUGCACCUCCUCCAAUCAGCUGCAGCGCAGACUUUCCUGUUUCCUCUUUUUACAGACUGCUGCUCUCUGUGGUCACCUCGGGGUCAAAGGUCAGAGAGGAGAACGGCUGCAGUAGAUCCAUCUGAGCUGGAGAGGGCGCCACAUUCACAAAAACCACAGAACAGCCCCUGACCCACGUGUUGAGAACUAUGUGUGUGCGUGCGUACAGGUAACUGGAGCUGCAGGAACUUCUCCACAUGUCAGGACAAGCACAGGAACUAUCAGUGUGGUCUUCAUCUACACACACAAAAAAAAAUCAGCAGGAGAACCUGCAAACUUCACUGAGUCACCUGUGUGUGUGUGUGUUCUAAGUGUGAGUGAAGACAUUAAAAAUACUAGUUAAUCAUCCAGCGUACAAUGUAUGAAGUCGUAUCAGUGCCACAAAGUGCUCUAACUGUUCUUAAGGUUGUUUAAAAGUGCAGGGGGCGGAGCUACAGCAGGAAUGUAGAGCUCAGGUGGGGAGAGAGAGACAGUGAGAGAGUGAGACCAGAGGAGGAAACAUCUGACCAUUGGAUCGCUGCUUCAACCUGCUGUGGAUUUACUCAUCCUGACUUGAUCUGAUGAUGGAAGGGUCAGAGGUUUGUUCCUCUGCUCCAAGGAUUCCACGAACAUCAUGAUUCAUCCUGGAGGAGAACAACACUCUCAUCCACCAUGUCCUCUGAGCUCAGCAGGUAGGAGAUAACUUAAUCCUGACUUAAAUUAACUAAAACAUCCACCAUGUCCUCUGAGCUCAGCAGGUAGGAGAUAACUUAAUACUGAUUUAAAUUAACUAAAACAUCCACCAUGUCCUCUAAACUCAACAGGUAGGAGAUAACUUAAUCCUGACUUAAUAUACCCACCGUGUCCUCUGAGCUCAGCAGGUAGGAGAUAACUUAAUCCUGACUGAAGUUAACUAAAACAUUCUCCAUGUCCUCUAAACUCAGCAGGUUGGAGAUAACUUCAUCCUGACUUAAUAUACCCACCAUGUCCUCUGAGCUCAGAAAGUUGGAGAUUACUUAAUCCUGAUUUAAAUUAACUAAAACAUCCACUAUGUCCUCUAAACUCAGCAGGUAGGAGAUAACUUAAUCCUGACUGAAGUUAACUAAAACAUUCUCCAUGUCCUCUGAGCUCAGCAUGUAGGAGAUAACUUAAU
rnacentral:lncRNA from 1 species